rnacentral:misc_RNA from 1 species
GUCGCUCGCCUUUUAGCCGCUAGUUUCUUCGAGGACCAUAGAAGAUCGUUGUAUUAGUUAGUUUCGAGAAUAUUGAAGUUAUGUUUGCUGCAAUUGAGAUUUGUUUGGAUAAUGUGAUUUUUCAGUUGAAUGAUUUUUGCCAUCGAAAGUUUGGUAUUUUUGUUUUUGGGUAUUCAUUUGUAUGUCUAAUCAUGUUUAUAUAUGUGUUUGUUUUUUGAUUGAUUCAGCUAAAAGCAUACGCAAUUAUGUUCUGAUGGUUUUCCAUGGUCGUGAGUUAUGUGUUUGUUUUGUUUCUUUUGAGGGUAAAAAGAAAGUUAUUGUUUCUAUGAGUUGUGGUAAUUAGGAGAUGUUUGGAAGUGAGGCUUUAUGGUUAUUCAUCGAAUUUGUGUCUUUUGUGCUGGUAUGGGAGUGUUAGUGUUCUGAUGUUUGAAAGUGAUGAUAAGUCUGAUUUUGGGAAUUGAUUGUAAGAACUAAAAGAUGGGACUGGCGAAGCUAAUAUUUUGUAUGGUUUUCUAUUUCGGCCAGUAAAAAAUUAUGCUUUGAGG